CAUGGCCCUUACGACCAGGGCUACACACGUCCUACAAUGGCGCAUACAAAGAGAAGCGACCUCGCGAGAGCAAGCGGACCUCAUAAAGUGCGUCGUAGUCCGGAUUGGAGUCUGCAACUCGACUCCAUGAAGUCGGAAUCGCUAGUAAUCGUGGAUCAGAAUGCCACGGUGAAUACGUUCCCGGGCCUUGUACACACCGCCCGUCACACCAUGGGAGUGGGUUGCAAAAGAAGUAGGUAGCUUAACCUUCGGGAGGGCGCUUACCACUUUGUGAUUCAUGACUGGGGUGAAGUCGUAACAAGGUAACCGUAGGGGAACCUGCGGUUGGAUCACCUCCUUACCUUAAAGAAGC
rnacentral:rRNA from 1 species